GCAGGACAAGGUGGUUUUGGGGUGUUUUGGGCUGUUUUGGGGUGUUUUGGGGCUGUUUUGGGGCUCUGACCCUGUAUCAAAGAGAAGAAGUAGGACAAGGUGGUUCUCCAGGUGGAAGUGGCCAACCUGUGCCACAACAACCGGUGCCUGC